rnacentral:rRNA from 1 species
CCUACGGGAGGCUGCAGUAGGGAAUAUUGCUCAAUGGGGGAAACCCUGAAGCAGCAACGCCGCGUGGAGGAUGAAGGUUUUAGGAUUGUAAACUCCUUUUGUGAGGGAAGAUAAUGAUGGUAUCUCUAGAAUAAGCACCGGCUAACUCCGUGACAGCAGCCGCGGUAAUACGGAGGGUGCAAGCGUUACUCGGAAUCACUGGGCGUAAAGAGUGCGUAGGGGGGUUUGUAAGUCAGAUGUGAAAUGCUGUAGCUUAACCACAGAACUGCAUUUGAAACUGUGAGUCUAGAGUGUGGGAGAGGUAGGUGGAAUUCGUGGUGUAGCGGUGAAAUGCGUAGAUAUCAAGAGGAAUACUCAUUGCGAAGGCGACCUACUGGAACAUUACUGACGCUCAUGCACGAAAGCGUGGGGAGCAAACAGGAUUAGAUACCCUAGUAGUC